AAGCCAUUGUGUGGGCAGUCUCUUACCAGCCUCUUAAACCUCGCCUAUGCAUCACUGAGCAAUUCGUCAAUAUCCUGUUCAAAAAUAGUGAUCAACUUCCUCCUUCU